rnacentral:rRNA from 1 species
CUUGUUGGUGAGGUAAUGGCUCACCAAGGCGUCGACGGGUAGCCGGCCUGAGAGGGUGACCGGCCACACUGGGACUGAGACACGGCCCAGACUCCUACGGGAGGCAGCAGUGGGGAAUAUUGCACAAUGGGCGAAAGCCUGAUGCAGCAACGCCGCGUGAGGGACGACGGCCUUCGGGUUGUAAACCUCUUUUAGCAAGGAAGAAGCGAAAGUGACGGUACUUGCAGAAAAAGCGCCGGCUAACUACGUGCCAGCAGCCGCGGUAAUACGUAGGGCGCAAGCGUUAUCCGGAAUUAUUGGGCGUAAAGAGCUCGUAGGCGGUUUGUCGCGUCUGCUGUGAAAACCCGAGGCUCAACCUCGGGCCUGCAGUGGGUACGGGCAGACUAGAGUGCGGUAGGGGAGAUUGGAACUCCUGGUGUAGCGGUGGAAUGCGCAGAUAUCAGGAAGAACACCGAUGGCGAAGGCAGAUCUCUGGGCCGUAACUGACGCUGAGGAGCGAAAGGGUGGGGAGCAAACAGGCUUAGAUACCCUGGUAGUCCACCCCGUAAACGUUGGGAACUAGUUGUGGGGUCCAUUCCACGGAUUCCGUGACGCAGCUAACGCAUUAAGUUCCCCGCCUGGGGAGUACGGAAUCUCUAGAGGAUC